rnacentral:rRNA from 1 species
ACCAGACUCCUACGGGAGGCAGCAGUGGGGAAUCUUCCGCAAUGGGCGAAAGCCUGACGGAGCAACGCCGCGUGAUCGAAUGAAGGCCUUCGGGUUGUAAAGAUCUGUUGACAGGGACGAAUAAGCAAUGCGAAUAGUUUUGUGUAUGACGGUACCUGUUUAGAAAGCUCCGGCUAACUACGUGCCAGCAGCCGCGGUAAUACGUAGGGAGCAAGCGUUGUCCGGAAUUACUGGGCGUAAAGGGCGCGUAGGUGGGCGCUUAAGUCAGCGGUAAAAUGGCGGGGCUCAACCUCGUCGAGCCGUUGAAACUGGGUGCCUUGAGUGGGCGAGAAGUACGCGGAAUGCGUGGUGUAGCGGUGAAAUGCAUAGAUAUCACGCAGAACUCCGAUUGCGAAGGCAGCGUACCGGCGCCCAACUGACGCUGAAGCACGAAGGCGUGGGUAUCGAACAGGAUUAGAUACCCUGGUAGUA